rfam:Aspergillus wentii DTO 134E9 unplaced genomic scaffold ASPWEscaffold_4, whole genome shotgun sequence.
GGCAAGGUGGCCGAGUGGUCUAAGGCGCAUGGUUCAGGCUCACCUGAAUCCCCACCAUAUUCUGCGGUACUACGGUAUCACAGUUAAGUGGUGAAUUUCCAUGUCUACAACAGUGGGCGGGGGUUCGAAUCCCCCCCUUGUCA